AUUGAACGCUAGCGGGAUGCUUUACACAUGCAAGUCGAACGGAGUGGCGGACGGGUGAGUAAUAUAUCGGAACGUGCCCAGUAGCGGGGGAUAACUACUCGACAGAGUGGCUAAUACCGCAUUAUCUGGGAGCGGCCGAUAGCGGAUUGGCUAGUUGGUGGGGUAAAGGCUCCCAAAGGCAACGAUCCGUAGCUGGUUUGAGAGGACGACCAGCCACACUGGGACUGAGACACGGCCCAGACUCCGACGGGAGGCAGCAUUGGGGAAUUUUGGACAAUGGGGGAAACCCUGAUCCAGCCAUCCCGCGUGUAUGAUGAAGGCCUUCGGGUUGUAAAGUACUUUUGGCAGGGAGGCGGUAUCUGCAGAAUAAGCACCGGCUAACUACGUGCCAGCAGCCGCGGUAAUUC
rnacentral:rRNA from 1 species